rnacentral:rRNA from 1 species
UACGUAGGGGGCGAGCGUUGUCCGGAUUUACUGGGCGUAAAGAGCGCGUAGGCGGAUGUUUAAGUGUGGCCUCAAAGCCCCCGGCUCAACCGGGGAUCUGGGUUGCAAACUGGGCAUCUUGAGGGGGAUAGAGGAGAGUGGAAUUCCUGGUGUAGCGGUGAAAUGCGUAGAUAUCAGGAGGAACACCCGUGGCGAAGGCGGCUCUCUGGGUCCGACCUGACGCUGAGGCGCGAAAGCGUGGGGAGCAAACAGG